UACCUUGUUACGACUUAGUCCCAGUCACCGACCCCACCUUUGACAGCUCCCUCCCUUACGGGUUAGGAUACCGGCUUCAGGUGUUGCCAGCUUCCAUGACUUGACGGGCGGUGUGUACAAUCCCCGGGAACGUAUUCACCGCAGUAUAGCUGACCUGCGGUUACUAGCAACUCCAACUUCAUGCAGGCGAGUUGCAGCCUGCAAUCUGAACUGAGGACAGCUUUAGAGGAUUGGCUCCGCCUCGCGGCUUGGCAACCUGUUGUACUGUCCAUUGUAGCGUGUGUGUAGCCCUGGAUAUAAAGGUCAUGCUGACUUGACGUCAUCCGCACCUUCCUCCGGCUUAAUACCGGCGGUAUUGUGUGACACAUAUAACACACAACGCGGGUUGCGCUCGUUAGCGGACUUAACCGAACAUCUCACGACACGAGCUGACGACAGCCAUGCAACACCUGUAACAGCUCCCCGAAGGGUCGGUCCGAUUUCUCUUCCCUACCACUGCUAUGUCAAACCCAGGUAAGGUUCUUCGUGUAGCAACGAAUUAAACCACACGCUCCGCUGCUUGUGCGGGGACCCGUCAAUUCCUUUGAGUUUUAACCUUGCGGCCGUAGUCCCCAGGCGGUAGACUUAUCGCGUUAGCUUGGACACCGACAGCUAUUACACCACCGACGUCUAGUCUACAUCGUUUAGGGCUAGGACUACCGGGGUCUCUAAUCCCGUUUGCUACCCUAGCUUUCGCGUCUGAGUGUCAGGAAUGGUCCAGGAGGCCGCUUUCGCCACUGGUGUUCCUCCAGAUAUCUGCGCAUUCCACCGCUACACCUGGAAUUCCACCUCCCUCUACCAUCCUCUAGUUCUGCAGUUUAGAACGGCCUCUCCCAGUUGAGCCGGGAGCUUUCACGCCCUACUUACAG
rnacentral:rRNA from 1 species